AAAGUCGUAACAAGGUCUCCGUUGGUGAACCAGCGGAGGGAUCAUUACCGAGUUAUACUCCAAACCCUUUGUGAACAUUACCUCAGUUGCUCGGCGUGGCCGGCGCCGAAAGGCCCGACCGCGCCAACGGGCCCAAAUUCUUAUUUUAUAGCGUACCUUCUGAUUAAAAAGACAAACAGUCAAAACUUUCAACAACGGAUCUCUUGGUUCUG
rnacentral:misc_RNA from 1 species